rnacentral:rRNA from 1 species
GAACUUAAGCAUAUCAAUAAGGCGAGGAACAGAAACCAACAGGGAUUCCCCCAGUAGUGGCGAAUGAAGCGGGAAAGCUCAAGUUUGAAAUCCGGCGGGUGACCUCCGGAGUUUGUAAGCUGAUGAGGUAUCGACCGACGUGGUCCGGGCCCAAUUUCCUUGGAAACAGGAGGUCAUGGAGGGUGAGAACCCCGUCCGUGGCUCGGGUGCCAUCGUCCCUGUGUCGUACCCUCUAAGAGUCGGGUUGUUUGGGAAUGCAGCUCAAAAUGGGUGGUAAAUUUCAUCUAAAGCUAAAUACUGGCGAGAGACCGAUAGCAAACAAGUAGAGUGAUCGAAAGAUGAAAAGUACUUUGAAAAGAGAGUGAAACAGUACGUGAAAUUGUUGAAAGGGAAGCGUUUGGCAUCAGCCCUUGGCGUCCGUCGAACAUCCAGGUUUCUAUCUGGUGCACUCGUCGGCCGUCGGGCCAGCGUCGGCUCUGCCUGUCGGAGAAAGGCCCGAGGGAUGUGGCUCACCUUCGGGGGAGCGUUAUAACCUCGGGUGUCAUGCGAUGUGGUGGGGCCGAGGUCUGCGGACUCUGUCCUAGGACGCUGGCGUAAUGGUUCCAAGCGACCCGUCUUGAAACACGGACCAAGGAGUCUAACAUCUAUGCGAGUGUUUGGGUGUCAAGCCCGUCCGCGCAAUGAAAGUGAAUGCAGGCGGGAGCCGUAAAAGGUGCACCGCCGACCGGUCCGGGGGUUUACCGAAGGAUCUGAGUAAGAGCAUAGCUGUUGGGACCCGAAA